rnacentral:rRNA from 1 species
UACGAAGGGUGCAAGCGUUACUCGGAAUUACUGGGCGUAAAGCGUGCGUAGGUGGUUUGUUAAGUCUGUUGUGAAAGCCCCGGGCUCAACCUGGGAAUGGCAAUGGAUACUGGCAGGCUAGAGUGCGGUAGAGGGUAGUGGAAUUCCCGGUGUAGCGGUGAAAUGCGUAGAUAUCUGGAGGAACACCGGUGGCGAAGGCGGCAUCCUGGACCGGUAUUGACGCUGAGGCGCGAAAGCCAGGGGAGCAAACGGG